rnacentral:rRNA from 1 species
CUAUACAUGACUCUGCGCAUAUCAAUAAGCGGAGGAAAAGAAACUAACAAGGAUUCCCUUAGUAACGGCGAGUGAAGCGGGAAGAGCUCAAAUUUGAAAUCUUCAAGGUUCUACCUUGACGAAUUGUAGUUUAUAGAAGUGUUUUCUGUUAGUAGGAGUGGCAAAAGUUCUUUGGAAUAGGACAUCAUAGAGGGUGAGAAUCCCGUAUUUGGUCAUUCCUUCCUAGCUUUGUGAUACACUUUCAACGAGUCGGAUUGUUUGGGAAUGCAGUCCAAAAUGGGUGGUAAAUUUCAUCUAAAGCUAAAUAUUGGCGAGAGACCGAUAGCGAACAAGUACCGUGAGGGAAAGAUGAAAAGAACUUUGAAAAGAGAGUUAAACAGUACGUGAAAUUGUCAAAAGGGAAGCGUUUGACACCAGUGUUGUUUUCUCGAAAAUCAAUUAAGAAUGCUGUAUUUUGAUGAAUUGUAUUGACCUUAAUAGGCUUGCUUCAUCUCUUUUCUUGUAACUUUUUAAUGCACUUUUCGGUUAACAAGUCAACAUCAAUUUCUUUUGUUGUAAAAGGGUCAUUGAGGAAGGUGGCUUUCUUUUCGGAGAAAGUGUUUAUAGCCUUGUGAUCUCUGCAAUCCGGAGAGACUGAGGUCUGCAGCGUAGACUCUUCGGGGUUAGAUACAUUUGUGCUAAGCUAUAGUUCUUUCAUAGACAACUUGUUGACUAUAGUCUAGUCCUGUAGCUUACUCGCUGAUGCUAUUUUACCUACGCUUAGGAUGUUGACACACGCGCGUGCUCG